rnacentral:lncRNA from 1 species
CCUUAACUUCCUGGGGCAUAUUGGUCUUACCAAGCUGGUUCUCCAGUGUACCAACCCUGGUGUCUGAGAGAUCUACCCUGAUCGGGAGGGGAUGAGCUGGGCAGAGGAGGACUGGACGGUGGGCCUGCCUGGCCGGGCCCUGCAGAAGGUCAAGGAGCUGCAGGUCCAGCAGGAGAGGCUGAACAGAGAGAGACAGCAGAAACAGCGGCAGCUGGACAGCACGCAGACCUCCCUCAACAAACAGACUGUCAAGAAUCACUGUAGGUGGGAGGCAGGGAUACAGAGGCGAGGGGGACAAUAAAGCACUACACGUCAGACAACAGCUCAAGUUCUCAGACCCUGGCGUCUCGCCCGCGCCCAUGUUCCCACAACAACAAGCCAAGGGCACGCCCCACUGGUGUCCGUCCCACCAAUCAGACUCCUCCACUCCCUCAGGCUGUGUUUCCGUGGGAACGGGACGACCAAAAGCCUUCCACCAGGGGACGACUCGCUCCUCCUCCAUCUCCCCCUCUCCCCUCCAGCAAUGUCAUCAGACGAGGACAGGAUGCUGGGGGUUGUGGGAUGGUGGAGGACCUAGGGAGAGAGACAGACAUGCUUCCUUCCUCCAUGAUGGAGUUCCUGUCUCUCUACCAGCUGACCCUUCAGAAGCAGGCGAUGGAGAGGGAUACAGACGCUUUGAAAGAGAAAGUCAAAUGGACUGAGGGUGAACUGAAGGAGAGCCAGAAGAAAGAGGCCCAAACACAAACCAAACUAACGGAGUCACUGUGUGAGAGGGAGGGGCUGAAUGUAACACUGGAGCAGAACAGGAGGAGAGAGACAGGACUGGAGGAGGAGGUGAAGAAGCUGGCAGAGGCCCUCAGAUGCAUCAAAGAACUAGAAGAUCAGAAGACGGUCCAACCCACUGCUGCUCCAAUGGCUCCAGUCCCGUUUAGCCCUGCCGGACAGAGCUUUGCCCCGGUCUCACAACCACGACAUGGCCACACCACCCCACGCACAACCUCGGCUCAGACCAACAGACCUGCUAGAGGGGAACAAACGAGGGAGGAGCGAGAGGAGAGAGGGAACAAGGGACAGAGAGCAAAGUACCCCACAGAGCGAGAGCCUGGCGAGGGCAUUGACUCGGAGCACAUCACUCUGUUUGGAUCCACAGACUCUGGCAAAACAAAGAGGGCAGGAGAAAGGGGGAAAGGGGAGGAGAGGAAACGAGAGAAUGAGAGACAAGACGAGGUAGAGUCGGUAGUAGAUGGCUGCAUCCCUGGAAAGGAUGCUUCCACCAAGGACAAAAAUUCACUCAGCACACAGAGCUCUCUUUCUGACACAGACCACAGUCCCCACCUCACCAGCUCCGCUGGCUCCGACACAGACUACGAGAGCGAGACCCUGUCCUGCACUGGCUGAACUUGAGAUAAAGGUCAGGAGAGAUGGGGAGGACAGGGAGAGGGGGGAGAGAGAGAAGGAGGAAAGGAAAGAGAGGGAGAGAGAGGACAGGGAGAGGGGGGAGAGGACAGGGAGAGGGGGGAGAGGACAGGGAGAGGGGGGAGAGGACAAGGAGAGGGGGGAGAGGACAGGGAGAGGGGAGAGAGGACAGGGAGAGGGGGGAGAGGACAGGGAGAGGGGGGAGAGAGAGAAGGAAGAAAGGAAAGGGAGGGAGAGAGAGGACAGGGAGAGGGGGGAGAGGGGGGAGAGGGGGGAGAGGGGGAGAGGACAGGGAGAGGGGGGAGAGGGAGAAGGAGGAAAGGAAAGAGAGGGAGAGAGAGGACAGGGAGAGGACAGGGAGAGGGGGGAGAGGGGGAGAGGACAGGGAGAGGGGGGAGAGGACAGGGAGAGGGGAUAGAGGACAGGGAGAGGGGAGAGAGGACAGGGAGAGGGGAGAGAGGACAGGGAGAGGGGAGAGAGGACAGGGAGAGGGGGGAGAGGACAGGGAGAGGGGGGAGAGAGAGAAGGAAGAAAGGAAAGGGAGGGAGAGAGAGGACAGGGAGAGGACAGGGAGAGGGGGGAGAGGGGGAGAGGACAGGGAGAGGGGAGAGAGGACAGGGAGAGGGGAGAGAGGACAGGGAGAGGGGAGAGAGAGAAGGAGGAAAGGAAAGAGAGGGGGAGAGAGAGGACAGGGAGUCUGAAAGCAUGCUGCUGAACCUCCCGCUAAAAAAGCAGCUGGCUGAGUUGAAGACAAAGCUCUUGAUAGAACGGGAGGAGAGAGAAAGUGAAAAGGAGGAGGAGAGGAAGAGAUUGAAAAACAAAGGGAUUGAAGGAACGAUUGAACUUACUGUGAAGCUGGAAGAGCUCCAGGCAGAGUUGAAGGAACUGAAGAACCGUGGACGUCUUGAAGUGAAGAACAUGGUAGAUAAAAACACCUCUCUGACAUAUCUCACCCUGCACCAUGACAUCACCUCUAACUCCAACAACAACACCGUUGUCCCUGACUACAAGCUACUACCAUCUCCUGUGUGAGAAUCCCAACCCACAGAACACUGUUGUCUCCCAGGCAACAGCAACAACAGCUGAUCUGAUCCAGGAAUAUGGAACUCUGACCAAAGCUCCAGAUCUCUCCAGACCUAUUAUUGAGGGAGAGACCAUUGUGGAGGCCCAGAGGGGUGUGUCUCCCUCAGACCAGGCUGAAACCACCAUGGAGCUCCAGAGUAGAGGCCUCUCUGCCUCAGAGCUAGCCCAGGAGGUGGAGCAUCUGGGUGGGGAGAGGAGGCUGGGCGAGCCAGACAGACCCAGGCCAAGCUGGUGGUUCGACAGAGCCAGGUAACCAGGCAGACCCAGCAGCUGACCCUGGCCUUCGACCACCAGAGCAGACACAUCCAGGAGCUGCUGGCAAAGCUGCAGGAGACGGAGGGCAGCGGCGUCAGGCAGGGACAGGAACUGCAGCACUGUAGAGAUGAACUGGCCAUGCUCAGAGAGGAGAAGGAGAGACUGGAGGAAGAGAGACAGAAGGAGGAGCUCAAGGAAAGUAGGGUCACAAUAACCCCUCAGCAGGUUGACCAUUACACAGAUGUACAUCAGAUCCCCCAUAACACUCAGAAUGAGUCUGCCUCUGGGAUAGAAGAGAGUACAGACAUAACAAUAAAACCACUGAACACUACCCAGGCUUCCUCUGCACUUUGUGAUGAGGGAGGUCAGCUGCCCACUCCACAGAAAAAUGUGUCACAUAAUUAUAUUAUGUAAACGACAGCACUACCACUCUGAGCAACCAUCCUGUUGAAAAUGAGGCCGCGAAGAUGGUGGAUUCUAAGGCUUCUGCUCAGCCAAGCAGGAGUGAAGAGAGAGUUGAAAACACAGAGAAAUUCAAAUCGGACCAUUUAACUGUCACACGUUCUGAGGAGCAGAUGGAACAUCCUGAGGUUUCUGGGCUCCAACAGCAACACGUCCGUAGUGACAGACACACCAUGUACAGCCCUGCCUUCAGGAGAGCUACUGAAGAGUUCCAGCUAUCCCAGAGAGACCUGAGUCUAACCAGGACUGAGAACACACAUCUUACUGUAGAGCUGGAGAAAGCUUCCGGUCCUACCAACAAACAAGUGGACAGGGUCGAGAAGAGAGUCUGGCUGAAGAGCUGCGGUCUCUAAAACAGAAGAACGAACAACUGGAACUCAAACUUCAAGAUGUUGCAACCACAGACAGAGAAAUUAGUUUUGUCAGUAACACAACACUACCAGCCACCUGUGAAGACCAGGCUGAAAGAAAAGGAAAGAGAAGGAAAAGAAAGACCCAGCGAGGAGGACAGGAAGUUAUCUCCACCUCUGGAGAGCUAGAGCAAAUCAGUGACAUCAUCACCUCAGGACCGGAGGCCACACUGCAGGAUGGAGGGAAACCCAAAGAUGAGGAGAGGGGAAGUAGAGUCUGAAGGAAAGAGAGGGGAAGGAGAGGGGGAGAGAGGAGUUAGGGGUGAGAGGAGAGGGGAAGGAGAGGGGGGAGAGAGGAGCUAGGGAUGAGAGGAGAGGGGAAGGAGAGGGGGAGAGAGGAGCUAGGGAUGAGAGGAGAGGGGAAGGAGAGGGGGAGAGAGGAGCUAGGGAUGAGAGGAGAGGGGAAGGAGAGGGGGAGAGAGGAGCUAGGAGUGAUGGGAGCGGGGGAGUAGAGGGGGAGAGAGGAGCUAGGGAUGAGAGGAGAGGGGAAGGAGAGGGGAAGGAGA